AAGGGUGCGUAGGCGGUUAAAUAAGUCAGGUGUUAAAUUAAGGGGCUCAACCCCUUAUCGCACUUGAAACUAUUUAGCUUGAGUGGUGGAGAGGGAAGUGGAAUUCCUAGUGUAGCGGUGAAAUGCGUAGAUAUUAGGAGGAAUACCGGUGGCGAAGGCGACUUUCUGGACACUAACUGACGCUGANGCACGAAAGUGUGGGGAGCAAACAGGAUUAGAUACCCUGGUAGUCCACACCGUAAAC
rnacentral:rRNA from 1 species